rnacentral:lncRNA from 10 species
GACAGCAUCAGAGUUCAUCAUAUAGAUAUUCUUUAAUUAUAUAAUUAAUCCCUUGUUGGUUGAUAUACAUUUUAGAGCUGGACUGCUCAAUGUGGUACCCAGGCUAGCAGCCACAAUAGCAGCACCUGAGAGAUGGUUUGUGAGCAUAUGUGUGAUGGGAGGACAAGAAUUGAGAAGAUGGGAUCAGGAAGAGGAGGGAGGACAUAUGAUUAUCUAUCUAUCUAUCUACACACAUGCAUAUAUACAUAUAUAUACACACACAUACAUAUGCACUAUGUGUAUGUAACUCCCUGUGAAAAUAUUUUCUAUUCAACAAAUUAAAAAAAAAAAACUUUAGUCAGAAGUGAAAUUACAUAGAAUUUGGGAUGCCUUGCCAUAAAUGGCCUCUCCAUAGUACCUCAUCCUGGCAUCACCUAAAUGGGAGGGUUCUACCCCAAUAGCUGAAAGCCCUGCCUGAGCCUUGGGGGCUCUGUGCUGUGGCCAGUGCUGGACUAUGCAGCUCUGGAUGCCCCCGACCUGCCGUUCCUCUGACCACUCAUGAGAAGCCCACAGGGGCAGCUCUGCCCCCUCACCUUCUACUUCCAUUGUUCCCACUUUUAGAGACCAGAAUUUUCCCCAAACAAGUCAACAUCUUGCUGUGUUUGCAGAAAACAUCCUAGCAUUGGAGGGACUACCAGAUGGAAAAAUAGCUCCCCUUUUCCAUUUAGAAGUGGCUUGUUUGAUUUCAAAAUAUAAACCCUGUCCUAAUAAUAAAAAUUACUUUUUUUCUCAGAGAUGUGCCAAAGUCCCUCACCAUCUAUCCACAGGAGAAUGUUCCAUUUUUUUGGAUGCCUCAUAGUCACCUGGUGUGGGGGACAGACCCUGUGGUGGCCCCACGGUCCGCACCUCCUGGUAUUCACACCCUUGUGUGCUGCCCUCCCCUUGAGUGUGGGCAGACCCUGUGACUUGCUUCAUAGUAGAAUGUGACAAAGAUGAUGGGCUGUCACUCCUGGGCUUACGUUACAUCGUGCGAAACCCGACUUACAAACAGAUUUGCUUUUGUGCUCUUGCUGGCCUUGAAGAAGCAGGCUGCCAUGUCGCGAAUUGUCCAUGCAGAGGCCACAUGGCACAUGAAGUGAGAACCAUAAAAGAAAAGUUGACAAAUGGUAAUGAUGCCUAGGAAAGAAAGAUAAAGAAAAAGGGGUGCAGGAAAAACAAGAGGCCCAGCACCACAGAGUUAAAAGCAGUGUUUUGCUGGCUAAUGCCAAACAUGGACAACCAAGCCACAGAUUUUUCCAUAGCCCGAGAAGUUUUGUUUUUCUCAAUGAAAAAUCAGAAGACUUUGCAUUAAAGCAUAUCAGUGAUAUAGAUAGCCUCAAAUAAUCAAAAAGAAUUUACAAAGCUGUACAACUCUGGUGUCAGUUAGCUUGGUGGAAUGACACUGUUGCUCUCUUUUCUGUCUAAUGGGCAUUUCCUUCUAAGAUAUUAGUUCUGCCUCCCACGUAUUGCUGCUACUGGAUGCUUGACGGCUGUGAGUCUCAGGCAUGGGGGACUGACGGUUUUGGUGUGUGUCUGGGUGAGCACAAAUUACCUGAAUGCUGAUGUGGUAGGCGUCUCCUGGAAAGAACACUGUCUUUAAUUGACUUAAUGUUAUUUUCACCUGGAUAAAAAUUUCAAAUUUUUAUACUAUUUGUAUUUUCUUUCCUUCUUUCUUCUUUCUUUUUUCUUUCUCUUUCCUUUCUUCUUUUCUUUCUUUCUUUCUUUCUUUCUUUCUUUCUUUCUUUCUUUCUUUCUUUCUCUCUUUCUUUCUUUCUUGCUCCCUGUCUCUCUCUCUCUCCCUUCCUUCCUUCCUAACUUCCUUUCUUCCCUCCUUCCUUCUUUCUUCCUUUUUCUUUCUUCUUUCUUUCCUUUCUUUUCCUCUUUCUUUCUUUUCUUUUUUCUUUCUCCUUUCUUUCUUUCUUUUUUCUUUCUUUCUUUCUUACUUUCUCUUCCUUCCUUCUCUCUUCCUUCCUUUUCUUCCUUCUUUAUUUCUCUCUGUCUCUCUCUUUCUGUCUCUCUCUGUCUCUCUCCCUCUCUUUCUGUCUCCCCCUUUUUUUCUUCCUUUUCUCUUU